AGCUACUCCUAUCCCUAACUCCUCACGGUACUGGCCGGGGUACGAGUAACCUUGGGGAAGAUCGGGUAACCAACCUCCAGUGGGAACUUUGGUCGUCUGCUGACAGGGAAGG
rnacentral:ribozyme from 1 species